GAUGAACGCUGGCGGCGUGCCUAAUACAUGCAAGUCGAACGAAACUUCUUUAUCACCGAGUGCUUGCACUCACCGAUAAAGAGUUGAGUGGCGAACGGGUGAGUAACACGUGGGCAACCUGCCCAAAAGAGGGGGAUAACACUUGGAAACAGGUGCUAAUACCGCAUAACCAUAGUUACCGCAUGGUAACUAUGUAAAAGGUGGCUAUACUACCGCUUUUGGAUGGGCCCGCGGCGCAUUAGCUAGUUGGUAGGGUAAAGGCUUACCAAGGCAAUGAUGCGUAGCCGAAGUGAGAGGUUGAUCGGCCACAUUGGGACUGAGACACGGCCCAAACUCCUACGGGAGGCAGCAGUAGGGAAUCUUCCACAAUGGGCGAAAGCCUGAUGGAGCAACGCCGCGUGGGUGAAGAAGGUCUUUGGAUCGUAAAACCCUGUUGUUAGAGAAGAAAGUGCGUGAGAGUAACUGUUCACGUUUCGACGGUAUCUAACCAGAAAGCCACGGCUAACUACGUG
rnacentral:rRNA from 1 species